UGCCAGCUGGCAGUGCUGGGCUGUUGCUGAGCAGAGUUCUGCUUGCUGCUCGCCUUCCACUUCCUCCUCCUCCCUCCCCUGCAGUCCGUCUCCUCCACCUGCUGCUGCUUGUUCUGAUCUGGUUUGGGAGCACUUUGGGGCAGGGACCGUCUGAUUUGCAGCGUGUCUGCAUGGCCCCCAGCGCAACGAGGGUGCUAAAUGCCCUGAUGGCUCCUGCUGACAGCGGUGCUGCUGGUAGAUUACCGCUGCCCGUCCAUUCUCCAGGCACUGCACACCCGGGGCCAUUGGAAACAGCAAGGCUGUGAGACCACCAGGUCCUUCUGCUGCUGUCAUCAUUGCACCUCUCCUGCUCACACUGCACCUGGCUUCCUUAAGCUCACUGAAGAAAAGCCACCAACUGCUCCCACUGUGCUUCCAGCUUCACGUGGCUGCUGGGACGCCUUCUGCCAGGGGUGCGUCACACCUCCCUGUUGUCUUAUCCUUCUGGCACCUGGACUUUGGUUUCAGGGCUGGGCUGAAGCCUGGGAGCUGCUGCACCCAUCAGCUGUCAUGUGCAGCAAGAAGCAUCGCCUCCUGAGAUCUGCUUUGGAGAAUUCACCAUUGGAGAUGAUAAGUCUCUGGUAAGCACACACCGCGGGCUCCUGGUGCAUCAGCAGUUCAAAUCACUCCAUGACACCAGGCAGCAUCUCCAUUCCAAAUCGGAGUGGGAGUGCUCAGCUUUCCCCGCAGCAGUUUGCCUUCUUUCAAGCUGAACCACACAGCGAGGUCCUCAGCAUGGGGCUGAAACCCCAAACACAGUGGCUGCACCACGUAGGUGGAGUAAUGAGAUAUCCCCCAGCACCCAGCAGGCUCUGUUUUAUGGCAAAAUUCAUCCUCUCUCAGUCUGGUGCCCAGCUUUGUGAGGUGCCGGUAUGAUGUGACACAAAGCAAUGCUGAUCUCCCCUAUUUGACUGUACCCACACUGCCCUGAGAGCCCCGUGGCCGUGAUGCUGGUCAGCACUGCAGCUCGGCCAUCCACACUUGGUGCAAGGCAACCAGGGCUAUAAAUAACAGACACCUCAGGCAGCAUGUUGGCACAAGGUAAUCCGUCAUCUGCGGCUGUAUUUGUAUUUCAUGCUUCCAUGUGAAGGUUGCAAGGAAAGAAAAAGUUAUUUGUCACAUAGCAAAGGUUGGAUGUUAGGAAGUCAGGCAGGAUAUUGGGAGAAAUUUCUGCUCCAAAGAGUGGUGAUGCAUGGGCUGCCCUGGGGGUGGUGGGUCACUGUCCCUGCAGGUGUUCAGAACCAUGGGGAUGUGGCACUUGGGGACGUGGUCAGUGUGCAUGGCAGGGGUGGGUUGCGUUUGGGCUGGGGGGUCUCAGAGGGCUUUUCCAACCUCAGUGAUGUUGUGAUUCUCUGAUUUUAUAGCAGUCUCUGCUCAAAGCAUUUCCCCACUUUGGGUGUUUGUGUGCUCUUGGUUGCACAGACCACAGCUGAUGGAAAUCAGGUGAGAUUCAUAGGAUCAUAGAAUCGUUUGAGUUGGAAGGGACCAUUGGAGGUCAUCCAGUAUUGCCAUCACAGCACCUAUAGACCUGGGAAAGGAAGCUGGUCCAGGCUAUAGCAACACAUCCACGCAAGGGACAGCUCCACAGACGGAUUCCUCAGUGAGGAGUGGGAUGGAAGGACAGCAGUCUCUGCAAUUGUGAGCAGCGUGAAGCAACCACCCAGAGGUGAUGCACUGAUUAUCUCUGCUUCCCCAAACACCAGGAGGCGUCCCUCCGUGCAGCCUUUCGCUUAUGUGCUGCACAACGCCGCGCCUGUUGAAGGCUCCCAUGAAUUUCAAACAAACAAACUGGACGAAGCUGUGGGAAGAAAAUAAAACAAACAAAACACCCUAACAGCUAUUGAAUAACAAACAUCACUCCUGCCACGGGAAAUCUCUGCAACCUGUCAGAGAGCAGCGCAGAGCUGCGAGGCGGCAUUGCUGGGAGCGCAGUGCUGCUGACAGCCCAGCGCUGGACACAGCUCCUGUGGGCAUCAGUCUGCUCUUCUGCCCUCUGCCUCUCCUCCCCAUCCUUCCACUCUCUAGCACUUAUUUUUUUUUUAUCGAACUCGCAGAUUUGUGUUACAAUUAAAUCCUGCACUGAAUAUAUUUUUGCUUUGAGAAGAGCCGGGACGAUUCUUUGUGAAGGCGCCUUCUGGCUGCCCAGGAGAGCUCCUCAGACAGCUCUGAGACAGGCUGGCAUGUCACAUAAACCAUAAGGACGUGCCUCUGAGGGUGGAAGUUUCCCUGGGAAACUUCAGUCUAUCCUUGCGUUACGACCUGAUUAUCAAACAGCCGAUUUACAUCUUAUGAGGUGUUUCCAUCUGUUGAUAGAAAAAUGCCCGAUUGCAUAACAUUCCUUUUGCUCCUGAUUGGGUUCUCACCGUUGCCAGCAGCACUGGGGUCAGAGCAGUGAAAUGCCCCUAAGCUGGGGGCACUGAGCUGCUGGAGCUGUGGGCAGCACCCACCUGCACCCGGAGCAGUGUCUGCCCCAGGGCUGGCACCCACUGGGAUGCUGCCACCCACUUCUCCCAGUGCACUUUUCCAAGCCUUCAUGCAAAUCUCCGCUGCUUCAUCCGUGCAUGCAGUCUUAUGCAGCUUUGGUGAUGCUUGUCUGACAGACAGCCUCCGUCUGCACUGCAGCUGGAGCUCAUUGCACAGCUGGAACGUAGCACACAGCUGGAGCUCAGCACACAGCUGGCUGCAAGAGCUGCCACCUGCAGUCACCAAAGGAAAGGAGCAGUGUGGGCAGAGCUGAGCAGGUCGCCGUGUUCCUCUUCUUCGUGCCUGUUGUGCUUUGCCAGGCUGCGUGUGGAUGCUGCACCUCUGAGGGCUGAAGCGAGGAGCCAGCAGAGCCAGUAGCAAUGCAUUUGGAAGCAGAUGGUCUUUAGGGACCCUUCCAACCCAAGCCAUCCUACGAUUUGCUCACUGAUAAAUGUUUGCAUCGCCAAAGAGCCCUGAGAAAUGUGAUUACUCCAAAGCAUCCCAGGAUGCGUUGCUCUGUGGCAGUCACUGGGCGUCUGUUAUCCUUGCACAUCAGAGAGCCUGGAAACUGUAUUCAACAGGCGAGUAAAGCCAAGUAUUUUAAUCAGCAAAAAACAGAGGAGAAGAGUGUUGAGAUGAGUGAAGAGAGGAGGGAAAUCCUGGGCUUGGUGCCUGGUUCCUAAUCCCUGAACUGUCUCACUGUAGUGCUUUGAAAGCCAGGAGGAAUAAGCCUGAUACCAUAGCACCUUGCCAUCAAGAAACUGCAUAAAUACAGAACUGCAAAGGUAAUUAACCAAAUCAGACUUGGUCCAGUGCUGAAAAGGAUUUCUUCCCCCAGGGAUGAGCAGAUGUCUCAAUCUAAUUAUACAAGUUAUUUAAUCAGAACCAGAGGUUGGGUAUCUAAUGAAAAUUUACCUAGUGCGGGGGGAGAGGUUGCAGACAGGGAGCAGUGCAAUUGGGGGGGGGCAUGACUUUGAGCACCUGGCACCACUUCUAGAGCUCUUCUGCCCUGUUUGUGAGCACAACAGGAAUAGGAAUUUGGAAAAAUACCAGUAGUGAGAAGAAUACGUCCUGGCAAAAGAUUGUUUCUGGCAUGGAGAGAAAAUAUUCUGGUAGAACUCAUCAGUGCUUCAGGUCUCCCCUUUCCCAGUGCUUCUCCCCGCUGACUGCAACAGGCAAUGAGUCUUAACCACAGACUUUGCCCACUCCAAAUAAGUUAUCGUGUUUUCUCUGCUGCAUACAGCUAGAAGAGGCCGUGCACAUGGAGAAGAAGCGCUCAACCAUCGCCCAGAUCCUUUGUUCCAAAGCAUGGAGCAUCUGUUUGUGGCAGCUGAAAUGGGGAAACGCUGCUUGUGAUCGUGUGGUUGUAGACCAAUGGGCUGUGAUGUGCUGGGAGACCUCAAUAAAGAGGGGGAGAUGCAAUGCAGGAGCCACUUGGGUUAGUGCAGGCAUCAACUCCAUUCUAUAGGAAUCUGCUCCACUGAGACACAUCUACAAAGCAUGGCUCCUCUUUGUUCAUGUGGAAAUCUGCUCUCAAGCCCCUAUGCAAAAGUGGUCAGCCCUUCUAUGAGCCCCUGCCAAUGGUAAAACUGCAAACUGAGCGGAGGUCGGGGCGGUUGCGUGGGUAUUUCCUUUUUUCCUGUGAACUUUUAUAGCUUUGCAGAAGCAACUGAAGCUGAGCUGAGGCACUGAGGCCAUUGGAAAUCUGACCCUGAAUAUUAAACAACCUGCCUGCGAGGUCGCGCUCAGCCGGGGGGAUUUAAGCAGUUCUGAAUUGCCGAACCGCGGUCCCCUGAAAGAGAAUUUCCCAGGCAAUAAGGAACGGAUUGACAGAAAAAGGAAUAAAGAUGAAAUGUGAUGUCUGCCGAACCCGUUUUUCCUCACUUCCACCCUCCAUCGUAUAUCCUGGCUUCUUUAACCUCCCUGUUAAUGAGAGCUCUUCCACUUUUGUAUCCCCAGGUGCUCGGAGUGCUGGCAGCCACUGAGCCCCCUUCCCACCCCUGGAAGGACAGACAGACAGACAGGCAGACAGCUGUGCAUGUCAAUGGGCAGACCUGCAGCUGCACGGCUCCUCCUGCAGUCUCAGCACGGGUUGGUGGGGUGCUGGGAGGUGCUGCCCCCAGUAAGCGGGAUGGGAAGAGGAGGUGACACAUCACCGUGCUGUGACUCAGGAGAAAGGCCGAGCCCUGAGGGCCUGGUGAGUGCAGUGGGUGUUUGCUGCCCACAGCGUGGCUCAAUUACAGGAGUGACAAGCUGCAGCACAGCUCACAGCCCUGCUAGACAGUUCUGUCAGCAGCCCGAGCAGUGCUGGGUCUCUGCCAGCCAGCGACUUGCAGCAGAAGAAACAAAGCAAAACUUGACUUUGAACUACACUGCCCUAUAUCCAGAAUGGCUGCACUGCUUGCACGCUGGAUAAAUAAUGCACUGCUUUCAUUGGUGUGCCUAUUCUGCACUGAGAACCUGAGCUGUCUACCCAUGAACUAAAAAAACACAGCUGAGCAGUGCUUUCCUAAGGUUCACCCACUGGCAGGAGCUGUGCUUUGGUCCUUGAUGUGAAUAUUUCUCUUCUGGGAAUACAAUUGUGAGCAGGGGGAAUGAGCCGAAGCCUAUCACUGCAGAUCUGGUCAUUGCUGUUUCAAAGUCCAAUCAAUGAAGUCCAUUGGGCUUGGAAGGAAAGAGUUAAUGAAGGCAAAGCUUGUCUGGCCAAGGGGCUGGUGUGGCUCCAGGAGAGCCGUGACUCAGAGAUGGAGCAUCCCGCCUGAGCACAGGGCAGCCUCCUCAUCUUCAGCUCCUCCUCUCUCAGCACAGCAGUGUGAAUGUGUCCAGCAUCGUGGCUGGGAGGGUUUGUCCCAUACAGCACCUGCUCUUCCCACUCAGCUCCACACUCCUGGCUUGCGUAAGAAACUCCUUACAUCAUAGUCUGUGGGUAGGACCUUGCACAUCUGGCUGUGUGGGGUUGGUCGGCGGUGCACAGCCCGUGGUAAUCUCAUUGGGGCUCUCUACAGGACAGAAAAAGGUUAACAGGGCGAUUUACAAGAGUAAGGAAAAGGCCAAAGGGAGGAUAGGAACAGACAGAUUGGGUGAGUUAUUCAAAGGUUUGACCAGAGUAUGACCAGAUUGGGAAUUUCUACCGCUGUGCCUGGCUUGAAAAGAAGCGUGGAGCCAUGAGAUUUGGUGACGAUGUCACAAACCAGCCCAUGCUCAGUGACACACAGUCCUCUGCCCCGGGUGCAUGUUAAUAUAUUGUUUUGUAUAAAAUGGAUGCUUUCCUACUCCUCAGCCCCUCACCCCGUGCCCAGUGGCCAACGAGGGGUCCCACGAAGCACCAACACAAUGGCAGCGGCGGUGCAGCAGAGCAGGGCAGGAUGUGUGGUCCUGGCAAUGAGCGGAACUACACUGCUUUGAACCCAGACUGGCACAGCAUAAACAUAUGGAUUAGCACCAACACAACAGAUCAAAACCCGAGGAGGAGGGCUCAAACAAGUCGUAAUUUGUAGCAACAACAAAAUUGCAGGGUUUCAUCACUUCAGCUCCCAACCCUCACACCUCAACCUCGCCGCAAGGAAAACAGCUGCCUCCCCAUUCUCCCACAUCUGUCCUAAACAUCCCAUUGGGGCAGCCAGCCUGGGAAGCAGGGCCUGUUGGGUGGAACACCACUGGCUGGAGCUGUGCGUUGUCACAGCAAUCACUGUGGGGUGGGGACAAGAAAAGGACACAGUGUUCAAUACUGGAUCUGUUUGGAGAGUAGGAAACUGUUCCCGUGCAACCCUUCUUUUGCAGCAGCCAGGCUGCAGGGUGCUGCAUGCACAGAGCUGCAGGUCCAGCUGCAAGUGCCCCAACGUUGCUGUGCUGUUUGGCUGCAGCUGCUGCUGCAUCAGAGGUGACUGCAGAUUGACAAGACAGGGAGACAGCACAACUGUAGGCACCUUCAUCUGCUGCACGCAUAAUCCUCGGUGCUGAACCCACUCCAAACUCAUCCCCAGGUCUUAUCUUUUCUAAACUGGGUAUUUAUUCAUGUGGUUGUUUUAUGUAAACUGCAAAGAGCCUCAUUAAAUGGAAACCUUCCCUUAUGAGCUUCGUUAUUAAGGUGGAACGGCACUCGGAAGGCACUGAGCAAAAUCCCUGAGCUUUGGUGUUACUUGGGGAAGGAAUGCUCAGUGCUGGCAGCCUGGGGCUGAGCCCACCUGUCCCCAACAUUCAGGAGCACACUCGGCUCUGGGAUGAGGCACUGCAAUGGGCAGUGUGUGCAGGAGAAGCCCCAGUCCAGCACUGGGCCCUUUGGCUACUGGAGAAGGAUGGAGCAGUGGCGAGGCUGACCUGGGCUGUAGCUCCAGGCUCGGUGCUGGCUGACAUGGAGCUGUGGAAGGGGAUGAGGUUUUGCAGCUAAAACUCCCCAUCACUGCAGUGCUGGCCAGGUAAAUCCCAGUGUUUUUGUGGGUCCCUGUUCUCAUUUGUAUUAUAAAUGCUCAUGACAGAGUUGACAGCAGAGGACACAUACACACGGUUAUGGAUGCACGCAUCAAUCUGAGGCUGGAAAUGAAUUGGGCUGUGUAUAUUUUCCCUUCCUUAGCCCAACUGAACUCAAUCCUGCUUUCCCAGGACUGAACACCAAUAGGAGCCACUGCAGACGAGUAGUUUCCUUUUGGUAGCAGGCACACGUGAUGAAGCAGUGUGAUAUUUGGGAACAGGCUGAGAGAGCAGGGAGGGAUUGGGUGCAGUGGCAGUGCCCAAUGCAUGCUGAGCCCUUUGCAGUGGUCACCCCAGUGCCCCACUGGGAGCUGUGCAUUGCCUCUGCUGUGUUCGGUGCCUCUCAGCCCCCACAUGCAUCUCCAGCUGAAGGACUUGAGAGCUGAUAGAGCUUUUUAAAGUGGGGAUUAUGUAAAUGCACAUUAUGGCACUUUCAUAAACAGGGAUUAUUUGUCGAAUACUUUCGAGCGCUUCCCUCGCAGCGAUUAAGGUCUGUUGUGUAAAUAGGAAUUUAGUGGCUGCUUAGUCUAAGUUUCAUUGGUUCAAUAAAAGAUGAGAGCAGCACUUUUUGCAUUCA